GUAUGGUGAUUGUCAAAAUGCCAAAUGAAAUGAGUAUUUUUUAAAGAAUUAGAUAAGUACAGACAAGAAGAAUAGCUGCUGUCGUUAACUUACGAAAUACGCAAUGGACACGAUGAUCGUAGUUUUUUUUUUAAUUUUCACCGCCACCGGAAUCGUAUGUGAAAAAGCGUUUCAUUUUCCAAACGACUUUACCUUUGGAGUGGCAACCGCAGCUUAUCAAAUCGAAGGUGGUUGGAACGACGAUGGCAAGGGUGAAAACAUUUGGGAUAGAAUUACCCAUGAACGGCCGGAGUGGGUCAAAGAUAAGCAAAACGGUAAUAUAGCUUGUGACUCAUAU